GAACCUGUGGGCUAAAGUCUGACGUGGUCAAAAUGGACAAAUAAUGAAUUCAGUGCCAUUGAACACUGAGAUAUCCCUUACAGCAGCCAAGAACAGUAUUUAAUUUGCUGAAACUGCUUCCAUUUCUGUUUGCAGUCAGAUACAGGUACUGCUUGGAUACAUGUGAUGAAUAAAAGAACGAUUGCUACAUUUCCAGAUCAA